rnacentral:rRNA from 1 species
CCUGGGACGGUCAUUUAGAACUGGCAGACUAGAGUCUUGGAGAGGGGAGUGGAAUUCCAGGUGUAGCGGUGAAAUGCGUAGAUAUCUGGAGGAACAUCAGUGGCGAAGGCGACUCCCUGGCCAAAGACUGACGCUCAUGUGCGAAAGUGUGGGUAGCGAACAGGAUUAGAUACCCUGGUAGUCCACACCGUAAACGCUGUCUACUAGCUGUUUGUGGCUUUAAGCCGUGAGUAGCGAAGCUAACGCGAUAAGUAGACCGCCUGGGGAGUACGGCCGCAAGGUUAAAACUCAAAUGAAUUGACGGGGGCCCGCACAAGCGGUGGAGCAUGUGGUUUAAUUCGAUGCAACGCGAAGAACCUUACCUACACUUGACAUGUUGAGAAGUUACUAGAGAUAGUUUCGUGCCUUCGGGAACUCAAACACAGGUGCUGCAUGGCUGUCGUCAGCUCGUGUCGUGAGAUGUUGGGUUAAGUCCCGCAACGAGCGCAACCCUUGUCCUUAGUUGCCAGCAUU